rnacentral:rRNA from 1 species
AUGUCUUCGUUCGCCGGCAUAACUGUCUUGGCCGACGGCGACCUGAGCCCUUCCACCGUCAAGACCAUCGACACCGGCACGGACUACGGGUACCACCUACUUGUGGUCCAAGACUACUCGCAUACCAAAGAAGUAAGACACAUCGGCAGGGGCAUCUGCUCCCGUGCUUUCAUGGUAGGAGGCCAUACAUGGUACAUCAAGUACUACCCUAAUGGGGAGAGCUCGAAACGUGCUGAUUACAUUUCUCUGCAUGUCUCCCUUCUCGAUUACGACGAGGAUUAUCAGAAGACUGUGAAAGCAAAGGUGUGUAUCAGUUUCAUCGACCAGGUUGAGAAGCACAAGCCAAUGUACAUUCACGGAACCGAAACGCGCACCUUCGGAGGCUCUUCUUUUAUGCAGCUCGACAAGUUUAUAAAAAAAGACACCCUUGAACAAUCAGUGCUUCUAAAGGAUGAGUGUUUCACCAUCCGGUGUGACAUCAUGGUCCUCAACACUGACGAUAAUGCUGGUGGCAACGUGCUCCCGCCUGACGUACACCACCAAUUCGAAAAUCUCCUUCGAAAUAAGGUGGGUGCUGAUGUAACAUUCGAGGUCAGCGGCGAGAUGUUCACCGCACAUAGGUGUGUGCUUGCAGCCCGAUCCACGGUGUUCAUGGCACAACUCUUUGGUCCCAUGAAGGAGGGCACUACUACGUCCGGCGCCAUACAGAUCAAGGACAUGGAAGCGAAAGUGUUCAGGGCUUUGCUUAGCUUCAUCUACACAGAUUCAUUCCCUGAGAUGGAGGAGGAGCACAAGGCACAUGUUGUGGAACAAGGACAAGAAGAGGAUGAAAUACGGCUGCGAUGGCUUCAGGAAUUGUUGGUUGCGGCGGACAGAUAUAAUGUCAAAGGGCUCAAGUUCAUCUGUGAAAAGCAGUUUUGUGAACACAUAGUUGUGCGCUCAGUGAUGUCCACUCUUGCUCUAGCCGAGCAGCACAAAUGCCGGCGAUUGAAGGGGGCGUGCUUCAAGUUUCUCCAAGUUCAGACUCCCUCACGUUUGCAAACUGUAAUGGCGUCUAGUGGCUGGGAUCAUGUCUUCACGACCUAUCCCUCGGUUUUGAAGCAUCUCAUUGCCAAACUUAUUGCUUUGAACCAGCAGAAGUAA